UACGUAGGGGCCUAGCGUUGUCCGGAAUUAUUGGGCGUAAAGAGCUCGUAGGCGGUUCGGCAAGUCGGAUGUGAAAUCUCCACGCUCAACGUGGAGGGGCCAUUCGAAACUGCCGUGACUCGAGUCCGGUAGGGGAGUGUGGAAUUCCCGGUGUAGCGGUGAAAUGCGCAGAUAUCGGGAGGAAUACCGAUGGCGAAGGCAGCCCCCUGGGAUAACACUGACGCUCAUGCACGAAAGCGUGGGGAGCAAACAGG
rnacentral:rRNA from 1 species